rnacentral:rRNA from 1 species
UACGUAGGGUGCGAGCGUUGUCCGGAAUUAUUGGGCGUAAAGGGCUCGUAGGCGGUUUGUCGCGUCGGGAGUGAAAACCAGGUGCUUAACACCUGGCUUGCUUUCGAUACGGGCAGACUAGAGGUAUGCAGGGGAGAACGGAAUUCCUGGUGUAGCGGUGAAAUGCGCAGAUAUCAGGAGGAACACCAGUGGCGAAGGCGGCGAUCUGGGAAGAUACUGACGCUGAGGUGCGAAAGCGUGGGGAGCAAACAGG